UGAAAGUGGAUGUAGAUGGCGCUUUUUUCUUCUUCCAGGAAACGAAGUGAAACAUGGUGGCUAUGGCUUUGCUGUAUUAUAGUGCAUGGAUUCACAAGGCCCUGUUAGGUGAUGAUGCCUUGAAGCUUCAGUGACAAGAAUGGCUUGACAGUGGCACAAGUUCUAUUCAGGGAAGCUCCUACUUUUCUCUUUUUUGAAUUAUGCAAGGUGAGUAAUCCUUCUAGUAUUGUACUAUCGAUAUGAAUAAACUAGCAUCUGGUACUUUAAUCAUUUUUUGCAUUUUGCUGGAUCUUCACUUGCAUGCAAACAGUUUGUACGAGCCACACAUGCAUGUAAACCGUAUGCAUUAUGGAAAUUUUGUACUCUGAACUCUGAACUUGAAUCAGAGCUGAAUGUUAACUCUGAAUUUUUCAGACUCCAUGUGUGAAC
rnacentral:lncRNA from 1 species